CAGGCCGGCGCCAUGCGGUCUCGGAAGAGGAUUCGCCUUUUCCGGUUCAGGGUGUCACAGCGCCCAGCCCGCCUUGCCUCGUUUUUUCCUGUCUCAGUCCGGCGUGGCAGAGUAGACAGGCCGCCUUAGCCCUUUCAAGCCCUCUCGGUCAUGGCGGCGCCCAGCCUUUUUUUCUGGCCGCAACCUGUCACGGCGUUGGCCUGAGUAGCCACUUCCGGACCCAGCCUCUACGUGGCCCUGGUUGUUGUGAUUCUGCUCAGCUAAGGCCCCACCCAAGGCUCACCGGAAGUAAAACCUCGGAAGUGAGGCGGUGCCUCUGCGGAAACGAGAGCGGCGCAGGUUAAAAAGGGGGAGGUGUGGCCUGGGGCGCGGGUCUUCGGACUGUCUUGAGGGGCUCGGGCUUGCUGGGCCUGACCCACCCUGUCGAGCAGCCCAAGCCCAGGCAGCCGCCGCGCACCCUCCUUGCCGCUGGACCUGCGCUCACAGUGAGUGGCCACGAGCUGGCCGCCGCCAUGUGGCCGAACGGUGCUGCCAUUCCAGGGGCUGCUCUACCCGGCCUGGCUGGGCGUGGGGCUGGCAGUUGGACGUAGGUCCCCGAGGCUGCGUUGCUCAUGCUGACCGCCAUCUGCCUCGCACCCUCACUCACCGUCCUCUCGGGGCAUGGGUCCGAGCACGCGCAGUGCGCGCUCACCUGCCCUCUGGGCAAAGAUGGACGGGAGGUUCUGCCCUUCGAAUUCCAGAAGAUCAGAUAUUCCUACGAUGCCGUGGAGAAGAAGCACUUCCUCCUUGAGGCUUUUCCCUUGGGAAAUGCUUUCUCAUACUACCAGAGCAAAAGAGGAGUUCAGGAGGACUCAGAGAUCUGCAAAGCUGAGUAGUUUGAGAGCAGCAAGUGAGUCCUGACAUCCCUAUCAGUUGCCUCCUGCUGACAGUGGCUCCUUUCCCAUUUGUGUUCUGUCACACUCCUGAGUCGGGAUGCCUGGGAGGUGAUUUGGAGAAAUCCACCUUUCUAACAGAACAUCUCAGGGCUAUUUGGCAUUUUCUAGACUUGUAAUUUCACCCAGAUACUAGAAAUAAGCAGCUAGUACAGACCUGGUAUACAAAGAAGCAAGAUAUAAUCUACAAAAUAAAUUUGCGUUCUGCAGCCUGACCUUCAGCACUAAAAGGCUUUGAAACUACUUAUGAAUUACAUCCAGAUGAGACAAGGAUACAACAAGAAAAAACAUCUAAAGGAUGUUUUGCAAAUGUUUUCAUUUCAGGAGUAGAUGUUUUCAGAUACAUGUGUUCAGUUUUGGGGCAAUACACUUGGUUCUAAGCUUUCUGGGUGCUAGAGUAAAAAGAGAAGCAUACUGACUCUCUUAAAAAGGAAAACAUAUUAUACUAAGGCAAAACUUUUCUUGCAGCUCAAUCCACAUAGGAAUUUAUUAUAAUAGUCUUUAUUGUAGUGUGUUGGUAUCUUAACAAUAGCUUUAUAAAAUAUAAAGGAUUAUUUAAACAGAACAUUUUCCAUAUCAACUCUGUGAAGACAGAGAGACAUAUAUUUCAUCCUAAAUCAAUGAAGAUCUUUCUUGAAGGACCAUGUAUUUAGUUUGCUAGGGCUGUCAUAACAAAGCACCACAAACUAGGCUGCUCAAACAGAAAUUUAUUGUCAGAAGUCUGAUAUCAAGGAUAUUGGCAGAAUUGGUUGCUUAUGAAGGCUGUGAGGGAUAAUCUUCAUGUGUCUCUCCUAGCUUCUUGUGGUUUGCAGGAAAUCUGACAUUUCUUGACUUGUAGGUAUAUCACCUCCAUCUGUCUUCAUGUUCAUGUGGUAUUAGCCUUGUGUGCAUGUCUCUGUGUCCAAAUUUCUCCUUUUUACAAGGACACGAGUUCAUGUUGGAUUAGAAGCCUUACUACACUAUGACCUCAUUUUAUCUUAAUUAAUUACAUGUGCAAUGACUCUGUUUCCAAAUAAGGUCACAUUCUGAGGCUACUGAAGGUUAGAUUUUCAACAUAAAUAUUUGUAGGGGACAUAGUUCAACCCAUAAUAGACACAAGAUGAUGUGGGAUAAAUAUUUUAGUUGCAAAUGAGCUGUCCCAACACAGAUUCAGGCCUGGGACGUUUCAGUGAAUAGACUAGCAUUGUCCAGUGUCAUAAGCAAACUUUAUGAAGUCCAUGGACAUAUUUAAUUCCCGACCAAGCUCUCUAUCGUCUACUUGUGUGCAGAGUCUUUGCUAUUGAAAACCUAAUGAAUGAAAGUCUAGGAGAGACACUCUGAAGUCUUUUUCCAGUAGUGAUGAUUCAGUGGAUACACAUGCUGUUUUCCUUGAAGCUGUAACCCAACCCCCAAGAUUGUUUGCAGGCUUCUCUAACCUACAGAAUUUACCAGAUGUCCUAAAAAUGUAUGUUACUAGGGCACUUGAAAGAGUAGGACUGCACCUAGGUACAGUUACCACCACUAUCAGGAAAGUAUUUUAUGACCUCCUGACAUUUUCUUCAUAAGAAGACAGGAUUAUUAGUGUGGGAGAAGAAAGAUAAUCCACUCUCUCCAGGAAUUCUAGGAGGGCCACAUAUUUCUGAAAAAGUGAGAAGUUUUUAAAAAAUGAUGUCUGACUUCUAGGUCAUCUCUAAAGGUAGAAGACAAGGUAACCAGGAAAUAAUAAAUAAUCAGGUAAUGGGUAAGUACAUAAAACAGAAAAAAAAAAAAGAAAGAAAGAAAGUCCUCAUGAAGUACUCAGUGUCCUGGAAAGCACUAUAGUGCAGUGAUUUAAAGCAGGGUUGUUGCCUGUUUCUGACAUUGUUAUUUUCACACUGCUACCACUAUUGUAAUCAUAACAACCCUCAUAUCAACAUAAUGUUCUAAUUUUCUUCUUAAGAAGAAGAAAGCAUAUUCUUUUGAAGAAUAUGUUCAGAGGAAGCCAGAUAUUCCCUGUGCUCCUCUGUAGCUUUAUGUCUAGUUAAACCUUCAGGUUUUAAAUUUAAGUAGACCUGGACUGAAUCCUGUCCCUACCAUUUACAACUAGUUACCUUUACAGCUUCAGGUUUCUUAGCUGAAAAAUGGGUGUAAAUAUCCAUUUUCUAUCCUGUUAGAUUUUUAGCACAGUUCCUGCACAUAGCAAAUGCCUGUAUUAUUCAGGAAUUAUUAUUUUGAGCAUCUUCCUCUUUUCUAAAAUAAAGAAAAAUUCUAAUUGAUACAGAGGAUGCUUGCCAUAUUUUACUGGUGGAGAAUAUAGGGGAAAUGUCUUCACAUCAAAAUAAAUAUUUGAUUGAAACUUUUUUAGUGUAUAACUAAUAUCACUCAUACUCUAGCAUCCUGAGCAUUCUUGUUAAACAUUUAUUAGCAGGCAAAAAGUUAUGCUAAGAAACUAGACCUUUAGAGAAUUCUCUGUUGGUAACAAGGGAAUAUGCUGUUCUGACUCAUUAUGGUAAUAUCUUACUCUUUAACCAAGUACACAGUAAACUCAUAGAAAUAAGUGAAAAAAUUAUUAAAUAUAUGCUAGAAUAUUAUAUGGAAAGACUUGUGAAUGUUUUAUAUAUUUCUACAUAAGUUUUUUACACUGACAGUAUUUUCCUUGAGGUUCUAGCGAUACAAUGCCAUGACAAUGUAUCUCCGUUUUAUAAGAAAUUCAAAUGUAUGCAUGAAACAAGGGUUUCUUUGGUUAGAACACUGUGCAUAGGCUUUUUUAUUUAAAAGAAAAUGUUUUAAUGUGAUAUUCCUUGUUUUUACUACAGUCACUGAUUUAGAGAGAAGUUUUUCAUCUAGCCAUAAUUUAGAUUGACAUUUUGAUCUGUUAAACCCUGGCAUGUAAUCUGAAGAAAGAGAUGAGCCCAGUGUAUGAUAUAUUGACUUUUCCUUGUUUAAGUAGAACUUUGAGAGUUUCAUAGAAAUGUACUUUUUUUUACUUCAUUUUGAUUACUAAUUUUUAGGUCAUAUGUUAUGUAAAUUUGGACAACUCAUUUAAUCUCAUUAAACCUCAGUGUCUUCAUUGAAAAAGUAAGGAUAACACUAGAGCCUUGUUUUCUAUCUCUUAGGAUUUUCUGAGGAUUAAAUGAUAUAUAAAAGAACAAUGUAAACUACAAAGCUCUGUAAAAUCUUAAUGGUUACUACUGCUACAAGAAAUAUUUGUUAGAUUCACUUAUAAAAGAACUUGAUGUUUUUUACCUUUCAGUGUAAUCCUAUUUAUAAAACAUGCUUAUUGAUUCAAGUUGGUGAUCAAUUUUUUAAAAUUUCACCUUAAUAAAGUGCUGAAUCAUUGUGCAACCAUUUCAGACCAGUGCCUGUUAACAAUCAUUCACAGGUUUUCUUUAGAACUUUAAAUUGAGUGCCACUGUCUAUUUGGGAAUGCAAUGCUAACAUCUUAAUUUAUUUUCAAUUAGUAGUUAAUUUCCUUUAGAAUGUAUAUUAGCACAAUACCUAGUCCUGAGAGUUUUCAGACUUUCAGAAACACAUACUAGGCUGCCAAAACUUCAGCAUCCUCCUGUGGCAGCUCAGCUCACUGAACAUUUUCUCCUCAACAUCCUACAGGAUAGAGGACUAAAAUCAUCUGCUUAGAAAUAGUUAUGUUAGAUAAGAUAGUCCCCCCAAAGUCACUAUAAAUAAUGAUAGAUUUCCUAUAUGACAACUGUAUCCAAGUAAUGAGUUAUUAAAAAACAAAGACCAAAAAACAACUCACCAACAACCCUGAUUAUAAAAUAUCUAGGAAUAAACUCACACUUUUUCAAGUAACAUUGUAGAAGUCUUGUAUUAAUAGGAAUACAUGAUAUAUUACUGAGUCAGAAUACUCAGUGUCAAGUGAUACUUAGCUGGAGGGUAAAUACUUCAGCACAGUCAAGAAAUUUUUUUAAAAAGGAGCUUCCUACUGGAUAUAAGAAUGUAGUAUGGUGCUAUAGACGUUUAAAAAUCUGGUACUGGUACUAGAAUAGAUAAAUAAAUUAGUAGCACAGAAUAGAGAGACCAAAAAUAAACUCAUAUGUAUUAGAAAUCAUAUGUAACAAAGGUGACACUUCAAAAUAGUCAGUCCAGUUGUCCAAAUAAAUGAUAUUUAUUUGAGGGAAACCAGGUAGAUCCCUACCCCAACCAUUUAGAAAAAUAAAUUUCAUAUGGAUUAAAUAUCUAAAUUCAAUAUAGUAGUAUUUAAUAUGUAUAUAGACAUAUAUACAUAUAAUAUAUAUAUUACUAUACAAGAAAAUGUGGGUGAAUACUUUAAUCUUGAAGAGAAAAUGGCAUUUCCAAGUAUCACCUAGAACUCAGAAGCCACGUAGGAAAUAUUUCGUGAUUUGCUGAUCUGAUUAUAUAAAAAAUUAAAGUUUCCAUAUAGUGAAAGACAAAAAGUCCAGAAGUAAACUGUAUGAACUAUAGCCAAGAGCAGACAGGGUGGGAGAAAAUACUAAGCUUCUACAAAUCAGUAACCAAGGCAAACAACCUGAGUAGACAAAUGAGCAAAAGCUAUGAGCAAGCAAUUUAUUGAAGACUACAAAUGACCAGUUAGUGUAGAGCAAGGUGUUCAACCUUGCCAGUAAAAAAUAAUCAAAUACAAUAUUUCUUAUCAGGCUGAGAAAAGUGUCUAAGAUUCUAUCUGGUAUUUACAAGAGAUGAGAAGUUUAGCACUUUCUAACACUCUAGGUAUCUUUUUGGAGUGCUAUUUGGAAAUAUCUGUUAGAAUCUCAAAUGCACAUGCCAUUUCACUCACCCAGCAACAUCACAUCCCAGAAUCCAUGUUAGCACAAGAGAAGAAUGAUACAUCUGUAAGGUUAUCCAUCUAUUACCAGUUGUAAUUUUUAAAAAGGGAAAUAAUAUAAAUUUCCCUUAAGUGAGACAAAUAGAUAAUAUAGUUAUGUAAUUCCAACAAUGAAAACCUCAGCCUAUAGAAGAAGAUGGAAAAGAUGAAGUAGAAGAGCAUCUCCAUAGGCUGGCAUAUAAAAUGUCCUCAAUCUAUUGUUAAUUUCCAAAAAAAAAAACAAUUUAGAGACUAAUAGACAUAAUCAUCAUAUAAUACAUCAAAUUGUUAGCAGUGCAUGUCUCUAUGAAAUGAGGCUAGAGCAUGAAGACUCACUUUUUUUCAUAUCAGAGACUACAAACUGGUGACCUGUCACCUAGAUUCAGCCAGCAGAUGUAUUUUUUUAUAGAGAGAGAAUGUUUUAAAAAUCAAAAGAAUUCAUGAGAAAACCCCAACUUCCAGCUCUCUUAAAAUAAGAUUUGGAAACCCAGCACCUGUAUUCCUGUCUGGCACCAACUGGCUUUAGGUGGAUAAACACUGCCCUCUUUAAAAGGUAUGUGCCCUCUCUGUGUCAAACUUGACUCAUGAUGUUACCUGCCAGGUUUCGUGGGGCAUUGGAAUUUGCUUCCGUUAUUUCAUAUGCUCUUAUAUUCUGUAGAUUUGUUACAAGUAUUAUUACUCUUAUAGAUAAAAUGUAAGGAUUAAAAUUUAUAGUGGUAUACCCUGUGAAACUUGUAAUAAAUUACAAAAGAAUUUCAGUGAUGAUAUGUAUAUAUGUCAAUAGUAUUAUAGUGCACUUCAAUUUCUAGUAGUUAUAAAUCCAGCAUUUUUAAUUAGCUGCAACAAAAUUGAGACUAGCUUACCCAGAAAUAUCCUGAAUGUUGGAAUCAGAUAUUAAAAAUAAAACAUCUGAAUCCAUAUUUAUAGAACACCUACUAUGUGCAAAGAAAAAUGAUAGAUGCUGCAUAACAUACAAAAAAGGAAUGUGAUAUCACUUCUUUUCUUUCUAAGUCAUCCAUUGGGUCUUCAAUAGCUAACUGGUUGCCAUACAUUGAUGCUAUUUUUUCAUAGUAUUCAUCACAUGGCUUAUUUUAUAAUCCCGUAUAGCACUCGGUUAUUUUACAAUACUGUUUUUAAGAGAGCUUUACUACUGUUUCAGUAAUCUUUUAACUAUUUUUCCAUCCUUCUGACUAACCCAUUCUGCAUUUCAGUAUCAAAUUAAUCUCUAAAACAUUGCUCCAAUCCUGUCAUUUCCUUUUUAUUACAUAUUAAUUCAGUUCUAUAAUUUGGAAAAUCAAAGCAUGCCACAAGUUGACCCCAAAAUGUCUACACUUGCGGUUUUUCAUGUACUCUAUUUUUCAGCUGAAACUGGGCUGCUGAUUGUUUUCUAAACAUAUAAUUUCAGAUCUUCCAUUUGCUCGACUGUUUCUUCUGCCUGGAAUGUCAACUCUUCCGUUUUAAUUGUGGUUCGAAACCUUAGCCAGCCUUCACGUCUUCGCUCAGAUGCCAUCUCUACCAGCAGAUGCCAUCUCUGCCAUGAAGCCUUCUACCAGUCCAGUCAGAUAUGUCUUCCUCUGAACUUCUAUUGUGGUUUGCCUGGACUCCUAAUACAGCACACAAUCAGCUGAUUGGCAUCACAGUAAUUAAGGCAUGUGUCUCUUCUCUCUUUCUAAAUAUAAGUUCCUAAAGAGCAAGGAUCGUUGUCUGCAAGCACAGAACUUUGCAUACUAUUAAAAGUUUAAAACUUUCACUUGAAAAGUCAUGAGACAUACAAACUGAUGUUAGGCAGAAACGAGGAAGCAGAACUGUGAUAAGGAAGAUAAAGCAGACUGUUAGAGGUAACUUAUGGGAACUUCGGCUGCAUUAGGGUGCUUGUGUGGGUGAUGAGAGAAGUACAGUAUUGCCUGAGUAUGAAACACAUGCUCCUGGUACUUCCUUGACAGGAUGACAAUAAUGGAACCUCUUCUCAGUAAUAAUAGGGUGCCAAGCUGACGUCAACUGAGGAUUUGGAGCAAGCUGGUUUGGUACAGCCUGUGUUGAGUACCUUUAAAAUUAUAGAGUGAAGAAUUGCUUAAGAGCCAGUGUUCUUAGGAAAGCCAGGUAAAGCUUAUAGGACAGAGUGUCAGGCUGGCUGUUGAAAGACUUCUGAUAACUUUGUCAUUUGAAGAGCUGUUGGUGGUUUGGAAAUAAAUCAUCUUAAAGUAAUCAGCUUUGACUGCCAUGAAUCCUCAAGAAGAAGUGACACAAAGCUUUGAUAAACCUUAAUAGUUGUAGAUAUGAUAGAUGGCAUGAUUUUUCAGGCUGUCAGAUUUAUCAGGUAGCUAAAGUUCUAAUAUGAAACUAGUUCAAACCCACCUUCAGUGACCACAAACCAUUCAGUUUAUUUCAGCCAUGACUAGAUUUCCAUAAUAAGCCAGUACAUAUAGCACGUGGCAAACAGUGGAUACCUGAUUACCAAAGCUAAGGAGGGUAUUAUAAAAGCAAAAAAGAGUUCAAAUAGGCUUUGUUGGAAACAUUUGGAGUAUGAAUGGUUUGGCAUAAGGAUGAACAGGCUGAAAGGUGGCCAGGAAUCAUUUCAUUCAUUAUUUUUUUCCCAGCUGGGGAGAUCCUGUAUCUUGAGAUUAAUGCACAUGGGAAUAGAAGCCUAGCUUUGGACUUCUGACAUAAGUCGGAGCAAUUAGAACACAUGCCUCCAAAAAUCCGCAGAUGGGCCGGGACUCUUGAGAGUUUCCGUCAUGCCCUAACAGUGUCCCUACACUGAGCUGGAGCUAGACAAAUCCAGAACUAGGAUUAAACAGGGAAGUUCCAAAAAUCUUUGAACAGGAUGGAAAUUUAAUCUUUGCUCCUACCAGCAGGAUUUUAUUUGGUAGGUCAGGUAGCAUCUGGGAGAUCAUUAAGAAAUACCUGCAUUGAAAAAAGGGAACCCUUGUGCACUCGUGGUAGGAAUGUAAAUUGGUGUAGCCACUAUGAAAGCCAGUAUGGAAGGUCCUCAAAAAAUUAAAAAUAAAACUACCAGAUGAUCCAGGAAUUACACUCCUGGGUAUUUAUCCAAAGAAAACAAAAACUAGUUUAAAAAGAUAUAUGCACCUCUGUGUUCAUUGCAGCAUUAUUUACAAUAGCCAAAAUAUGGAAGCAGCCUAAGUGCCCAUCCAUAGAUGAAUGGAUAAAGAAGAUGUGGGGUGGGGUGGGGUGGGUGUGUGUGUGUGUGUGUGUGUGUGUAUGUGUGUAUUUUCAUGACCAGUCACCCAGUCAUGAAAACAGAAUGAAAUCUUGUCAUGUGCAACAACAUGGCAGUGUGGAUGAACCUGUGGGAUAUUAUGCUAACUGAAAUAAGUCAGAUAGAGAAAGACAAAUACCAUAUGAUUUCACUUACUGUGGAAUCUAGAAAACAAACCAAAUGAACAAACAUAACAAAACAGAAAUAGACUCAUAGAUACAGAGAACAAACAGGUGGUUGCCAGAGAGGAGGGGAGUGGGGAGGGGAAAGAAAUAGUUGAGGAAGAUUAAGCGGUAUAAACUUCCAGUUACAAAAUAAAUGAGUCAUGGGGAUGAAAUGUACAACAUGGAGAAUAUAGUCUAUAAUAAUGUAAUGUCUUUGUAUGUUAACAGAUGACUAGACUUGCUGUGGUGAUCAUUUUUGUAAUGUAUAGAAAUAUUGAAUUGCCAUGUUGUGCACCAGGAAUUAACAUAGUGUUGUAGGUCAAUUAUACUUCAAAACAAACAAACAAACUUGGGCAUUCCCUGGUUGUGCAGUGGUUAGGACCCGGUGCUUUCACUGCUAGGGACCUGGGUUCAAUCCCUGGUUGGGGAACUAAGAUCCCACAAGCUGCUCAGUGCUGCCAAUAAUUAAUAAUAAUAAUAAUAAUAAUCAAACUCAUGGAAUAAGAGAUCAGAUUUGUGGUUACCAGAGUUGGGGGGAGGGAGAACUGAAUGGAGGUGGUCAAAAGUUACAAACUUCCAAUUAUAAGAUAAAGUACUAGGGAUAUAAUGUUCAACAUGACUGAUUAACACUGCUAUAUGUAAUACAUGAAAGUUGUUGAGAAUAAAUCCUAAGAGUUCUCAUCUCUAGGAAAAAAAUUUUUUUCUUUUAUUUUGUGUCUAUAUGAGAUAACUGGUGUUCACUAAACUUACUGUGGUAAUCAUGACGUAUAUAAGUCAAAUUAUUAUGCUGUGCACUUUAAACAGUGCUGUAUGUUAAUUAUAUCUCAAUAAAACUGGAAGAAAAAAAAAAACACUUGGAGCUGAUCAGUGCAGAUAACAAGUUGUACAGUUGUCCCUCUGUGUACAUGGGGGAUUGUUUCCAAGACCCACAAUACCAAAAUCCAAGGAUGCUCAAGUCCCUUUUGUAUAAUGGCAUAGCAUCUGCGUAUAACUUCUGCACAGCCUGCCAUGUACUUUGAAUUAUCUCUAGAUUACUUAUAAUACCUAAUACUAAUACUAAUAUGUAAAUACUAUGUGAAUAAUUGUAAAUAUAGUGUAAAUGCUGCAUAAAUAGUUGCUGGCACACAGCAAACUCAAGUUUUGCUUUUUGAAACUUUCUGGAAUUUUCCUUUUUCUUGAAUGUUUUCAGUCCGUGGUUGGUUGAAUCCAGGAAGGCAGAACCUCGGUAUUCAGAGGGGUGACUAUAGUUCAGAGCAAUGGAUUGCAAAUCAGAUAACAGCCAUCAAAAAGAAGCAGAAAAGUCAGAUGUGCUCAGGGCAGUUUUUUUCUUCUCUUCUUCCUCUUUUUUAUUUUCUCUCUCUCACUCUCUCACUCUUUCUCUCCCCCAAAGUGCUCCUUAAUGAGACAUAAUAGCUUUUGCCCAAUAGUUCCUUAAAAAGGGUUCACUGGAUACUUGACUAGAAUUUCAAGACCAUCAGUCUGUCUACUAUAGAUGUGAACAUCUUCUCAUAUCUCAGUAGCCCCUAAUAAAAUCAUUGCACAAUUAAUACUGAUAGAGACUUUGAAUCACUAAGCUUAAAUCAUGUUUGCUUUUACUAAAAAUAGGUAUUACUAGUUAUAUUCAAAGGCAUGAGUAUAUUUUUCACAUUAUAUUUGAUUGUACUUACAUAAUUUCAUUUUUGGUAGCUAACAUAUGCACAUGGUUCGAAAUCAGCAUUCCUGUCCCAGUGACAUAAUCUCCUUCCCAGAGACAGUCAGUGAUACCAGUUUCUUGUAUAUGCUUCCAGAAAUUGUUUAUGUACACACAGUUACAUAUAUUGGCAUCUCACACACCUGUGUGUUAAUGUUAAUGCCUGCACAUUAAUGGUAAUAUGUUAUUAACAUUAAUAAUACAGUCCUGAAAAUCAGCAAGAGAAUGUUAAGCAGGUGCCUAUUUUUAUCAUUCUAAUGCAUCUUAUAAUGUGUCAUGUCAACCCCCAGACCCUCAAUUUCCUAAAUCAUGUAUAAACCACAGUCAAAUGUUUACAUAUGUAACAUACUAUCAUAUUAGUAUAAAAAUGGCUUAAAACAUCACUUACUAAUCACCAGUAAUAGACAUUAACAAACCUUUGCUUUGUAUGCAUGAAUAGGGCAUCUUCAGGCACUGACUUCAGAGGAGCAGAUGACUUUUGUUGACAUUAUGAGCAUCCCAAAACGUGUAAUUUCAUUCUUAACCUACCCAAGCAUUGUUUUGUUAAAAUUGUACUGAGUUUGGGUGAUGUAAAUAUGUUAUUAUUCUCUAUUAAAAAGAAGUGUUGAAUUGAGAUGUGUCUAUAAGAUUUCUGUAUUGAUAACCAGGAAAUAUACUAUCAAAAAAAAUAAAAACAAAACAACA